rnacentral:rRNA from 1 species
AGGAUGAACGCUGGCGGUAUGCCUAACACAUGCAAGUCGUACGAGAGUUUAUAACUCAAGUGGCGGACGGGUGAGUAACACGUGAGAAUUUACCUUUAGGAGGGGGAUAACACCUGGAAACGGUUGCUAAUACCCCAUAUGCUUUCGAGUGAAAUAGAUUUUUCUGCCUAAAGAAAAGCUCGCGGCUGAUUAGCUUGUUGGUAAGGUAAUGGCUUACCAAGGCGACGAUCAGUAUCUGGUUUGAGAGGACGAUCAGACACAUUGGAACUGAGACACGGUCCAGACUCCUACGGGAGGCAGCAGUGGGGAAUUUUCCGCAAUGGGCGAAAGCCUGACGGAGCAAUACCGCGUGAGGGAAGACGGCCCAUGGGUUGUAAACCUCUUUUUCAGUGAGGAAACAAAUGACGUGUAACUGAAGAAUAAGCAUCGGCUAACUCCGUGCCAGCAGCCGC